rnacentral:rRNA from 1 species
GAUGAACGCUGGCGGCGUGCCUAAUACAUGCAAGUCGAGCGAACAGACGAGGAGCUUGCUCCUCUGACGUUAGCGGCGGACGGGUGAGUAACACGUGGAUAACCUACCUAUAAGACUGGGAUAACUUCGGGAAACCGGAGCUAAUACCGGAUAAUAUAUUGAACCGCAUGGUUCAAUAGUGAAAGACGGUUUUGCUGUCACUUAUAGAUGGAUCCGCGCCGCAUUAGCUAGUUGGUAAGGUAACGGCUUACCAAGGCGACGAUGCGUAGCCGACCUGAGAGGGUGAUCGGCCACACUGGAACUGAGACACGGUCCAGACUCCUACGGGAGGCAGCAGUAGGGAAUCUUCCGCAAUGGGCGAAAGCCUGACGGAGCAACGCCGCGUGAGUGAUGAAGGUCCUCGGAUCGUAAAACUCUGUUAUUAGGGAAGAACAAAUGUGUAAGUAACUAUGCACGUCUUGACGGUACCUAAUCAGAAAGCCACGGCUAACUACGUGC